UUAUUGAUAAUAAGGAGACAUGUAUAAAGAAACUACUAAAAUGCAAUAUGUUAAAUCCUUUUAAAAGAUAUAUGUAAAACUUAAUACAACAUGAUUCCAGUUAUCAGUUUCAUCAGCUGUACAAUCGAGACCUUAUAACGAGGUAUUUGGAGACAAUUCUCAUCAGAUUUCUCAUGUUCUGGCAUGGUUCAGCUCUUUUGAACAAGAUUGCUUAUAUUUUAGGAUAAUUAGCAGAUCUUUCUCCAGAGGGUAGGAUGGGCAAAUGCGAAAGGAGAACCAUCAUAGUUGAGAGUCU
rnacentral:lncRNA from 1 species